rnacentral:rRNA from 11 species
UUCUGCAACCAUGUCUAAAUACUCAAGUCUCCCAAUACUGUCUGAACUUGGAAGCUAAGAAGGGUCAGCCCUAGUUAGUAUUUGGAUGCAAGACCACCAAUUAAUCCCAGAUGUUGUAAGAU